CAUUUGUGGUAUCUCCGUUCCUCUACCCCUGCUGCUGAUUCAAGGGGCUGCCUGCCUAAUGAGAAGAAGGCGGUGCGACGAAACACAGGGCUCGUGGCAGAGGCGCCAGUCACCUUCAGAGACGCUGGGACUUAGACGCCAGAAGUUAUGAAGUCGGCAUGGACUGCGGAUCAGAUCUUUGCAGCACAAAUUCUCCAAAGGCAACAUCUGGGUCCGGUCACCGAAGACAGAUGGGCUCCCUCUACUUCGUCCCCCAUCCCCGCGGGACCUCUGCCGGAGGCGCGGCAUGCUAUUUGAAUGCAAUGAUAUGCUGACUAAAUUGUUCCUGCACGGUGCGCGCCGAGUGCAUUCCUACUGUUAGAACCUAUUCUGUAUCUGUACCGGCCUCCUCCUUACGGAUGGCUUUCUCUAUCUCAAAACGUUCCUGGGAUUUCCAGAUGCUGCCAUUGAACAAAUUCUCAUUAUUUUGCUUCUGUUCCUUUAUACAGCCAAAUGGUCCUCCUCUGACAUUGCAGGGGGCCAAUUU